UAGUCAUAUGCUUGUCUCAAAGAUUAAGCCAUGCAUGUCUAAGUGUAAGCAAAUUAUACUGUGAAACUGCGAAUGGCUCAUUAAAUCAGUUAUCGUUUAUUUGAUAUUACCUACUACAUGGAUAACCGUGGUAAUUCUAGAGCUAAUACAUGCACAAAAGCCCCGACUUCGGAAGGGGUGUAUUUAUUAGAUAAAAAACCAAUGCCUUCGGGCUCUUUGGUGAUUCAUAAUAACUUUUCGGAGCGCAUGGC
rnacentral:rRNA from 1 species